UACGUAGGGUGCAGGCGUUAAUCGGAAUUACUGGGCGUAAAGCGUGCGCAGGCGGUUUCUUACGUCAGAUGUGAAAGCCCCGGGCUUAACCUGGGAACUGCGUUUGAAACUGGGAGACUUGAGUGUGGCAGAGGGGGGUGGAAUUCCACGUGUAGCAGUGAAAUGCGUAGAUAUGUGGAGGAACACCGAUGGCGAAGGCAGCCCCCUGGGUUAACACUGACGCUCAUGCACGAAAGCGUGGGGAGCAAACAGG
rnacentral:rRNA from 1 species